rnacentral:sRNA from 1 species
ACAAAGUUCAGCUGGAGUUUUCCUUCUCCCUGCAGCUUUCCCAGUGCCUCCAGCAGCCCUCCUCAAAGACCCCUGUGAGGCCACGCAGAAAUGGCUUGGCAGGGGACCCAGUGAGCCCAGAGGGAUUUUGCCGCUGCUUCCUCUACCCCUGUAUUUCACUCAGCUCUCUAAAUUGACUCAGCUGUAGAACCAUAAUUAUCAUGUUAUCUAUACCCGAUACAUUGUAGAUGAAGAAACAUGUCGACAGAGCCACUAUCUGCCCAACAUCUCAUGGGUAGUCAUAGUCACAGUAGAACUGAGACUAAGGUUUCCAUUUUUAUUUGACUUUGCUGCUUCCCAAGGCUAGUGUGAGAAACACCAACGUCAGGCCCAUCUCAGAUCUUCACUAUGGCAACUCAUGCAAGAAACUGUUGAAUUAGACCCGUUUCCUAUAGAUGAGAAACCAUACAAGCUGUGGUAUUUAUGAGCCUCCAUUUCUUAUACUACUGCAGUGAACCAACAUUGGAUGUGAAAAUUGCCUUUUGUCAGGUGUGUGUUCCUUACAGGUAAAACAAGGGAUUCGAU